GCCAUUUUUGCAAAGAAAUCCGUUGGCUAACGGAUAUGUAGCUGUUGCCAACGGACAUGUGGGCCCCAUAAAUUCAAAAUUUUUAUAAAAAAAAAUAUUACCGUUGAAGCGGGCCGGGCCGGUCCGGGCUGUACCGGUUCACGGUACUGUUCACCAUACCGGGCCGGUCCGGUCCGGGCUGUACCGGUUCACGGUACUGUUCACC
rnacentral:lncRNA from 1 species